CCGGUGACGGGAUGCCGGUGGGAUCCCAGAUGGCUCCUUUCGGAAAAAAUUGGCCACCCGAGAAUCGAAGGGGGAACCUUCCGGUGGUCUUACUAGUCCCACCGUCCGUGGCAAAUCCCGGUCUAGAAAGAUUCUGUCCCGAUUAAUCGGGCCAGAUAUCUUUCGGCCGCCACCCCGCGGCGGUGGGUGGAUAAUUUCUGGCAGCUCCGGUAUACUUAACGUUAAUCUCGGAUUUUUAUGGUUCCGUUAUACACGCUAAUCCGUCUUACCGCUAUCCCCCGUAUCCCGGCUAAUCUUCUUCGCACUUUUGAUGACGCGCUAAAGGCACGCGCAUGUACAGGCCCGGUCGACCGACAGAAAUCGCGGUUCGACUUCCCGCUUGGGUUUGAAUAUGGUGGUAGCGGUUCCGGUAGCGCCAUUUUAGAAAAGCCAAUGGGAUACCCAGUAUCGAUUAAAUGAAAUUAGAAAUAUUCCUGGCUCUACUCGAUUCAAAAUCUAUACAGUUUACAAAUUUUGUCGCCCAUCGCCUAUAGUAAAAUAAACCGACCGCUGUCAUUGGUUAAUCGGUGCCGACAGCCAAUGGUGGCCGUCCACAUCGGCUUCCUCCAAAUACGCGCGCCGAUAUACCAAUAAUACCGACGCCAUCAUUGGCGCCUGUACCAGUGUUUGGCGGGACGUGGUAGCGGCGCGCCUCUGGUGCGCUGGCUAUAGCGCCAACCGGCCUUAAUACCGAAAGCCGGGGAUGGGAUGGCGGGAAGUGCCGGAGUCGCGUCUCCCGAAAAAACUUUUUUCGGGGCGCUGGGCCCGGCUCGUCCUUCAUCGUCCUUAACUCUCCACCGGUGUGGCUGCAGCCGGUGGUUAGAACUGGCUCCGCUCCGAUCGAAAAUGGAAUAAUCUCCCCGACUGGAAAAGGGCGUAACAAAUGCGAAAGAAUAAAAAAAUUCCAGGAAAGUCCGGAAGUCGGGUGGCUGCCGCCUGAGCCGUUCUUCGGGUCCUCAGUAUAGUAAAUUCGUUGGGUUUUGGCAGAUUACGAUAUUAGUGUCCGGUAACCGCGGGGUAUGGUCAAACUGCCCCUAAUGAAUUUUUUAAAUUUUCAUUUACUGUUUUAAGUUGGUACAGUGUUAGUUAAGUGGCCUAAGGGACCACCGGAUACAGGACGUAAGAGUCGGGAGUCGAUAAUAAGGCGGGUGGGCUGGAAAGACGCUACUGGUCACGGUUCCGUUCUUCCGACACAACGGGAGAAAAUUCCGCCAAUCGGACCUUCUAUCCCACUAUCCGGACCCUUUCUCCUCCCGCUAGGGUCUAAAAGAAGUGGCGGCUACUAGCCUACCACCGGGAAUACGGGACGUCUACAGCGCCUUCCGAGAAACGCGCUAUGCCGGAUGGCGGCCAUCUGGGUUAGCCUCCGUAUUUUGGUGGGUUUGACACCGUUAGGCGCCUGGCUUUUCGCUACUUUUUACUAAGCAGCCGCCAUUCUACCGAGUAGAAAAUAGGACCAGUCCAGAGCCGUCGUUUCCGCCAUUUAUCUUCGGACAAAAUUCUAUAGACGGCAGCUGUCUAUAGAGUAGAGUCCUUACCCCGAUCUGGUGUAGGUCUAUUCCUAUGGUCUCUAUCCAGAUGGAAGGGGGGCCGGCCCGAGAGGAGAACGGCCACAAGCCGAGGUAAAUUUACCCGGAGGAAGAGAGUCCAGUCGGGCGGUGCCGGGCCGACCACCUCGGGCCCGCCUUCCGGGAAGAAACGGUCAUCCGAGCCGCGGGCCACAUGGCCGCCAGCCGGGCGUAAAACCGGCGUAAUUAAUGACGACGGCGGCUCCUUUCAUCUCCACUUCCGCCCCUUUUUUCAGCGCGCGGCCGUCGACUGGGUUACCCGACACGCGCCGCUAAUUAAUGGCCGUGGGGUGGCUGGGCCGCCCCCGCCCCAUCCGUCUACGGCGGCGGCGGAAGGGAAAGCGAGAAUAACGGGGCCGCGGAAAAGUCAGAGAGGCCUCCCUCUCGGCCUUCUUCCGACGGGGUCCGGCCGCCCUAUCCGCUGACAGAUCGACGGGAAAAGCGGAGAGGGAAUCCGAAGAAGCCGGUUAUUUGGUCGAACCCUGGCAGCAGUUUGGGUCCGAUCGUCCGAGUGGCUGGGAGAGGGCCGCGGCUGGCAGCGGGUGCAAAAUUGGCUAGCGGGCGUUUCCGGUGCCCGACCGGUCCGAUUCUCUGCCCGUGGCCUAUCCUAUCCGUCCAACUAACCGUACCCCCUGAGUUUUUCCAGCUACGGAUCGGUAUCGGGACUUCUCCAUCCCUUUUUACUUUCGGGACGGAGGGAGUGGAGAACGGUCGCUCUAUCUUCUUUUCCGGCCGACGGACACAAGUCGAGGUAUCGAUACGGUCCGCAUUUAUAGUCUCCGGAGUGCGCGGCCGACCCCACGGCCUGCACCGGAAGUAGCCAGUGGCGUAUUUCCGUCGAGCCUUUCCCGAGUAAACGGUGGACGCCCCACCAGUAACGGCCUGACGGGAAAGUGUCCGGUAAAAGUAACGGAAGGACCCUUCGGGGUCUAGUGAGCCGUUAGUCCCGACCGAGAGAAAGGGUUAGGUCCGUCCCGGCUGCCAACUCAGCGGCCCGGCAGUGGCCGGGAGGUGGACGAAUCUCCGCUACGGGCUAACCGUAUCGGGUCCAGCCUAGACGGAGGACGGACGGCCACUCCGGCGGGAGAUGAGUCCCAGACCCCAGUCUCUUCCAGGAAGAAGGCGGAUUUUUUAACGGUGGAGAUGCGGUGCGACCCGCGGGUUCAGGCCGAAUCCUCCGCCCAGCCUAAGUCGGCGCCGGGGGAAACGACGGCUCCCCCCUCGGCUGGGGUAGGCCAACCGAAGUCCGAGAAGGGAAAGAGCAGCCGGGGAGAGAGAGGCCACCCCCACCACUGCCGAGACAAAUAUCCGGCCUAGGUGGUGGGGGUCCGGGCGGCUUUCUCACCCUUUUCCAUGGUCGAGAUUUGCCAGCCGAAGAGGAAGGGCCGGGACGGUUGGGAAGCCUACCCGACCCAUCAGGGAAGGAGUUUUUCGGAUGCCGUACCGGGACUGGAGGCUGGGUCCCAGGCCCAGAAGGAAAGACGAGCUAGCCGACGAGUGAGUUUACUGGCGGGAAAAUUGAUAAUUAACUCCGACCGGAUUUAGCCGGUACCGACCACCAGCGCGGAUUUCUAUCGACCAGGUAAAUAUAUCGGAGGGCGGGUGGGCGGAAUUGCCCACGGAUCAGCGAUACAAAGUGCAUGAUCCGGUGGAAGGCCGCGCGGGUCGGCGGGUUAGAGGGCCGGGAUAGAUGGCAGAGGUAUGGGCUACUUAACGGAAGAGGUCUCCGAUACAAAGGGAAGGGCCGACCCAACACCAGUUAAGGGCGUUAAGUCGAAAAGUUAGCCCUGGGAGUUAAAAGGCGCUUUCCCGGCUGGGAAUUAAAUGGCCCACCACCACCUUACCGUCUUACCGGGCGGGUUCGGUUUCUUUACCGUUUGGCUAGUGGCUACCUAUCCCAAGGGUGCGCGCAGCUUUCUCCUCCAUAUUUAGCCGCCAAUAGGCUCCACUCAGCCGAUUUAACCGACUUUACGCCGCCUCCGAUCUAGGCUUAGCCACGGUGGAUGGCCGAAUCCUGUCCUGAUUCCGUGACUCGGACCGGUCAAAUCCUGUAAGAUUAGCGGCGAGUAGGACACCGAUGGUGGGAAAGGCGUCCGCACCGUGGCGGGAGACACAGACGGUGCAGCCGGCCGAGGUACCCAGCGCACCGGUAGAAUCUUUUUUGGGGUAAAAACCCGAAGGGUUCAAAGGCUGGAGCCAACAGAGUCCGUCCGUCGCUUUCCGUUCCGAAUUGGGUCCCAGGCCUUACUCCUGGCCUGGUCAAGUCGGCCACGGUGGAUUCUGGCGCUCGAAAUUCGAUGUGCCGAUCCACGCUUCGGUGGUGUAGGUGAUUAGUAGGCCCGGCCUAAACGGUGCCAACGGCAGUGGAAGGAGGUGGUAUUAUAUUUCUUGGGUUUACAGGUUUUAACCAGGGAGCAGUUGGAAACCGUAGAAACGAUAAUUUUAGAUGGAGAUUGUUAAAAAAAUCAGACGUAGUGACGGUUUAUUGGCAUACUUUUAGUUUCCGAGCAGAAAAAUGUCAUCAUAUACGCUGGUGACCGGGUAAUAUUUUUCUUUAUCUUUAGCCUUUUCCGAUUUUUAUUUCCGACCGCCGUUAUCUUUAAACUCUGCGAGCGCUCGAUGGUUUUCCUCUAUCGCGGUCUAAGCGCUGGGGACCACCUUUAUUUUAUUUUAUCGGUAACAGAAAAAAGGGCGAGCUGCGAUUAACCCAUAGAAAAGGAAGGAAGUGGGAAGGACAGAGUUAAAGAUUCCUGCCGAAGAAAGUGGACUGGCCACUAGUAGUAAUAGUAGUAGUAGUUGUGAUAAAAGC
rnacentral:lncRNA from 1 species